rnacentral:misc_RNA from 1 species
GAAAUGCGAUAAGUAAUGUGAAUUGCAGAAUUCAGUGAAUCAUCGAAUCUUUGAACGCACAUUGCGCCCGCCAGUAUUCUGGCGGGCAUGCCUGUUCGAGCGUCAUUUCAACCAUCAAGCCCCCGGCUUGUGUUGGGGACCUGCGGCUGCCCGCAGGCCCUGAAAAAUAGUGGCGGGCUCGCUGUCACACCGAGCGUAGUAGCAUACAUUCUCGCUCAGGGCGUGCUGCGGGUUCCGGCCGUUAAACGACCUUCAUAACCCAAGGUUGACCUCGGAUCAGGUAGGAAGACCCGCUGAACUUAAGC